ACGCUCGACACCUACGGGGCAGCAGUCGGGAAUAUUGCGCAAUGGAGGAAACUCUGACGCAGUGACGCCGCGUAUGGGAAGAAGGUUUUCGGAUUGUAAACCAUUUUAGACAAGGAAGAAACAAGACAGUACUUGUAGAAUAAGCUCCGGCUAACUACGUGCCAACAGCCGCGGUAAUCUGAGCGGGCUGGCAAGGC
rnacentral:rRNA from 1 species